GACGAACGCUGGCGGCGUGCUUAACACAUGCAAGUCGAACGGAAAGGCCUUUUCGGAGGUACUCGAGUGGCGAACGGGUGAGUAACACGUGGGUGAUCUGCCCUGCACUCUGGGAUAAGCCUGGGAAACUGGGUCUAAUACCGGAUAGGACCGCACUUUAGUGUGUGUGGUGGAAAGUUUUUUCGGUGUAGGAUGAGCCCGCGGCCUAUCAGCUUGUUGGUGGGGUAAUGGCCUACCAAGGCGGCGACGGGUAGCCGGACUGAGAGGUUGGUCGGCCACAUUGGGACUGAGAUACGGCCCAGACUCCUACGGGAGGCAGCAGUGGGGAAGAUUGCACAAGGGGCGCAAGCCUGAUGCAGCGACGCCGCGUGGGGGAUGACGGCCUUCGGGUUGUAAACUCCUUUCGCCAGGGACGAAGCGUUUUGUGACGGUACCUGGAGAAGAAGCACCGGCUAACUACGUG
rnacentral:rRNA from 1 species